AGUGAACGCUGGCGGCGUGCUUAACACAUGCAAGUCGAACGAGAACGGAAUAUAGCUUGCUAUAUUUGUCAGCUAAGUGGCGCACGGGUGAGUAAUGUAUAGAUAACCUGCCCUUAAGAAAGGAAUAACAGUUGGAAACGACUGCUAAUGCCCUAUAUGCCUUUAAUACAUAAGUAUGCAAGGGAAACGCUUUAGUGCUUAAGGAUGGGUCUGUAUGGUAUCAGCUUGUUGGUGAGGUAAUGGCUCACCAAGGCUAUGAGGACUAACUGGUUUGAGAGGAUGAUCAGUCACAUUGGAACUGAGACACGGUCCAGACUCCUACGGGAGGCAGCAGUGGGGAAUAUUGCGCAAUGGACGAAAGUCUGAUGCAGCAACGCCGCGUGGAGGAUGACACAUUUCGGUGCGUAAACUCCUUUUAUAUAGGAAGAUAAUGACGGUACUAUAUGAAUAAGCACCGGCUAACUCCGUGCCAGCCGCCGCGGUAA
rnacentral:rRNA from 1 species